AUUGAACGCUGGCGGCAGGCUUAACACAUGCAAGUCGAACGGUAACAGGGAGAAGCUUGCUUCUUUGCUGACGAGUGGCGGACGGGUGAGUAAUGCUUGGGAAUCUGGCUUAUGGAGGGGGAUAACUACUGGAAACGGUAGCUAAUACCGCGUAAUGUCUACGGACUAAAGGGUGGGACUUUCGGGCCACCUGCCAUAAGAUGAGCCCAAGUGAGAUUAGGUAGUUGGUGAGGUAACGGCCCACCAAGCCGACGAUCGGUAGCCGACCUGAGAGGGUGAUCGGCCACAUUGGGACUGAGACACGGCCCAA
rnacentral:rRNA from 1 species